rnacentral:rRNA from 1 species
GACAGAGGGGGCAAGCGUUGCUCGGAAUUACUGGGCGUAAAGGGCGCGUAGGCGGGAUGGCAAGUCGGUCGUGAAAUCCUUCGGCUCAACCGAAGAACGUCGAUCGAUACUGCUGUUCUUGAGGGUUGCAGAGGAGACUGGAAUUCGGUGUAGCGGUGAAAUGUGUAGAGAUCGGGAGGAACACCGGUGGCGAAGGCGGGUCUCUGGGCAAUUCCUGACGCUGAGGCGCGAAAGCGUGGGGAGCAAACGGG